rnacentral:rRNA from 1 species
GGGUUGUGAGGUUAAGCGACUAAGCGUACACGGUGGAUGCCCUGGCAGUCAGAGGCGAUGAAGGACGUGCUAAUCUGCGAUAAGCGCCGGUAAGGUGAUAUGAACCGUUAUAACCGGCGAUUUCCGAAUGGGGAAACCCAGUGUGACUCGUCACACUAUCAUUAACUGAAUCCAUAGGUUAAUGAGGCGAACCGGGGGAACUGAAACAUCUAAGUACCCCGAGGAAAAGAAAUCAACCGAGAUUCCCCCAGUAGCGGCGAGCGAACGGGGAGGAGCCCAGAGCCUGAAUCAGCAUGUGUGUUAGUGGAAGCGUCUGGAAAGGCGCGCGAUACAGGGUGACAGCCCCGUACACAAAAGCGCAUGUGCUGUGAGCUCGAUGAGUAGGGCGGGACACGUGGUAUCCUGUCUGAAUAUGGGGGGACCAUCCUCCAAGGCUAAAUACUCCUGACUGACCGAUAGUGAACCAGUACCGUGAGGGAAAGGCGAAAAGAACCCCGGCGAGGGGAGUGAAAAAGAACCUGAAACCGUGUACGUACAAGCAGUGGGAGCACAGGUUUACCUGUGUGACUGCGUACCUUUUGUAUAAUGGGUCAGCGACUUAUAUUCUGUAGCAAGGUUAACCGAAUAGGGGAGCCGGAGGGAAACCGAGUCUUAAUUGGGCGUUAAGUUGCAGGGUAUAGACCCGAAACCCGGUGAUCUAGCCAUGGGCAGGUUGAAGGUUGGGUAACACUAACUGGAGGACCGAACCGACUAAUGUUGAAAAAUUAGCGGAUGACCUGUGGCUGGGGGUGAAAGGCCAAUCAAACCGGGAGAUAGCUGGUUCUCCCCGAAAGCUAUUUAGGUAGCGCCUCGUGAAUUCAUCUCCGGGGGUAGAGCACUGUUUCGGCUAGGGGGCCAUCCCGGCUUACCAACCCGAUGCAAACUGCGAAUACCGGAGAAUGUUAUCACGGGAGACACACGGCGGGUGCUAACGUCCGUCGUGAAGAGGGAAACAACCCAGACCGCCAGCUAAGGUCCCAAAGUCAUGGUUAAGUGGGAAACGAUGUGGGAAGGCCCAGACAGCCAGGAUGUUGGCUUAGAAGCAGCCAUCAUUUAAAGAAAGCGUAAUAGCUCACUGGUCGAGUCGGCCUGCGCGGAAGAUGUAACGGGGCUAAACCAUGCACCGAAGCUGCGGCAGCGACGCUGAUGCGUUGUUGGGUAGGGGAGCGUUCUGUAAGCCUGUGAAGGUGGCCUGUGAGGGUUGCUGGAGGUAUCAGAAGUGCGAAUGCUGACAUAAGUAACGAUAAAGCGGGUGAAAAGCCCGCUCGCCGGAAGACCAAGGGUUCCUGUCCAACGUUAAUCGGGGCAGG